UACCACAGCUACUGGCCUGCAGCUGCUCUGUACUGUAGCAGUUGCGGUAUUCCAACUGUGGGAAAUCAGCAGUUACACGAUGUCCCAAUGCUCCUUUCCUUUCUCAACUGAGUGGAAUGGAUUUCAGUGUAACAGACAAGA